AUGGGACCACAUGUGGAAGAUCAAACUCCAAACUGUGCUCAAAUGAAGGGGAAGUUCAAGUACAAAAUUGUACAUAUAAGAAAAAAAUCAUCAGUAAUCCCAUAUGCAGAGGUAACCAAUGUGAAGAUUUGGGUCAAGAAGCCUGUAAUUCUCCAAGUGAUCCCUGAACCUUAUUUAAUGCAGCCAACCACAAAAGGAGCUGAGUUGAACUUUGGUGUCUGCAAGUUAGAAAGUAAUAACUUUCUCAUCUCUUCUGUAAGUGACUUAUGCCAUGUGAUGAAUGCAGACCCUUCCCUCACAAGGGUUUCCUGAUAUUAUACACUUGUAGCAAAUAAGGUUAGAACCUUUAAAAUAUAGCAUUUAGUAAUGUGCUGGAAAUAGCUUCUUCUCGAUUCCUUUAAAGGUCACCGCAUUUGCUUUCCAGGCGUCAUUUUAGCUCUAGCCUCUC
rnacentral:lncRNA from 12 species